AAAUUAACCAGAAAUUUAGUGUGGGUUAUUCCUGGCUUACUAAUACUGAGUGUGUGUUUGAUAUCAUGUCUAAUUAAUCCUUUAUUAUGUUUGAUAUCCAUGGGUAAAAGUUGGAUUAGCAAAUAAAAUACCGAAAAUAUCCCCCUAAAAAAUUCAAAAUUCCAUGCGCAUCCUUUAGUUUAGGCGCGGCCCAUCAUAUCAGAAACCUACUUCCUCUUUGAACAAUAUUUUUCAUUCAUCAACUUGGAAACAGAAACGACGCCAGCGACUGUGCUUGAAUCUGGAGUUGCGAAGAAGAAGCAUCUGCGGUUCCAUUCAACCAAACCUGCAAGUUCAAUACAGAAUUUGUGAAUAUGAGCCAAGCUACUCAAGGCAGCAACGGGACAUCACUUUCGGGUCGGGGAACCAAGCCGGACCAGAAGCGGCGUUCAUGGUCUCGUCACGAAGAACAAGUUUUGCUAGCCUCCUUGAAAGAGCUUGUUGCCAACGGGUGGAAAUCGGACAAUGGAUUUCGCGGUGGUUACUUGAAUAAGUUAGAGGAAGCUAUGCGGAAGGAGUUCCCGGCGACGGACUUGAAAGGAAUGCCCCACAUCAACUCCAAGGUUACGACGUGGAAGAAGACGUACUAUUCUCUAUGGAACAUUCUCAAGGUUAGCGGAGUCGGCUUCAACAGUUAACGGGAAGCAUAUGAUUGACUGCGAUGAUGAACAAUGGGAAAACUUUGUGGCUGCCGAUAAGAACGUGAGUAACUACCGUUACAAAAGUUGGCCUUACCUCGAGGAUUGGAAGAUUAUCUUCAGCAAGGACAGGGCUACCGGGGAGGAGGCGGAGGACCUUAUGGAGGCGACACAUGAUAUGUACCGCAAAAUAGACCUCACCCAAGUCAACGAUGGUGGUGAUUAUCACGUCUCCCUUGACGACAUAUUGGAGAACGACGUGACAGCCGACAAUGUAAGCCAAACACGCAAUCAACAAGAGAAUAAACCUUGUUGAGAACGAGGCUCCGAUCUCAAGUAGGAAACGGCGUCGUUCAACUGGUUUUGAUGAUAGGUUCUUCGAGGCUUUACACGAGGUGGGUCGGGGUAUCGAAAAUAGACUCGAGACAAUAUCGAAUCGCAUGGGAUAUGACUUUGAUAUUUCAAAUGCGCGCAAAGAAGUAAAUGCGAAGUUGAAAGCCAUACCCGGGUUAUCAAGAACCGAUAGGUUCGAGAUAUGUAACAUGCUUGCCAUGCAAGUGGAGCUCCUAGACAUAUUCACGAGUCUCUCCGAAGAUGAGAAGGAAGACUAUGUGUUCUUCCUUCUUCGAUCGAAGAAGAAUUGAUGGCAUAGUUUAUGGUAACCAUUGAAAUGCUCUCUUUUUGGCUAGUAUGCAACUAAAACUUGGUUGAUAUUUGGUUUUGAACUUGCUGUCGUAGUUUGAUAUUUCUAUCUUCUUAUGUCCGAAGUCAGUUUUGCAACUGCGUGGAAUGACAUUCUUCUACCUUCGACUUUUGUGUGUUGUUUUGGAUUAUGUAAGCGACGGUCUUCGAGUUUCAUUUUAUCUAUAUGCUCAU